CCUACGGGGGGCAGCAGUGGGGAAUUUUCCGCAAUGGGCGAAAGCCUGACGGAGCAAUACCGCGUGAGGGAUGAAUGCCUAUGGGUUGUAAACCUCUUUUUUCAGGGAGGAACAAAAUGACGUGUACCUGAAGAAUAAGCAUCGGCUAACUCCGUGCCAGCAGCCGCGGUAAGACGGAGGAUGCAAGUGUUAUCCGGAAUCACUGGGCGUAAAGCGUCUGUAGGUGGUUUAAUAAGUCAACUGUUAAAUCUUGAGGCUCAACCUCGAAAUCGCAGUCGAAACUAUUAGACUAGAGUAUAGUAGGGGUAAAGGGAAUUUCCAGUGGAGCGGUGAAAUGCGUAGAGAUUGGAAAGAACACCGAUGGCGAAGGCACUUUACUGGGCUAUUACUAACACUGAGAGACGAAAGCUAGGGUAGCAAAUGGGAUUAGAUACCCGGGUAGUC
rnacentral:rRNA from 1 species